rnacentral:misc_RNA from 1 species
GAAAACUUGAGAUUUUAUAAUCUUAAAGAAGUUUUCAGCAUGAGGUACAAAUUAUUUUAAAAAAACAUUAUUUUAGAUACUCAAAAUUAGUUUCAACCCUUUUAGAAUAAUUCUUAUAUUAAAAUUCAAAUCUAAUUCUAAUGAUGAAUAAAAUUUAAAAUAAUUAAAUUAUAUGAAUUCUACAGUUAGGAGAACUGAAAGACAAAUAUUUACCUUACUUUGGGUUGUUUGGGGCUUUUAAUUAAUAGCUCCUCUUAAAAUGUAGCUAUUAAUUAAAAGUUUUUAAUUAUCACGAGAAUACGUGAAUACUACCUAGAAAAUAACUUUUAAUUGCUUAAUACGUAAUGCAGGGUCUAACAUAUAAAUCAGGAUGUCAUUCACUACUUUGUUUGGGACCUAUACGUCUGUAGGGGCAAUGAUUGCAUUGCAA